rnacentral:lncRNA from 1 species
CAGAAGAGGAGUGAACCAGACUCUUUGGUAUUGAGGAUUUAGAGAAAAGCAGCCUCGCUCCUUGGAGUUGUCGAACAUUAGACAGGUGGGGAGAAGGUGGCCCGGGCUUUGGAGAAAUCUGCAUGACUCUGGGACAGCCGUCCCAGUGAUCCAAGCAGCUGAGGUCUGGUGGAGGCACCACCUCGACACACUUCACACUGCCACAGAGUGGAGAGAGGCUGGAGGACUCACACCUGCUCUUCUCUGCUUCAGCCGGAAGUGACACUUAGACUAUGGCCCAUUGGCUAGAUCAAGGCACAUGUCUCUGCUUGAGUGCAGGCGGCAGGAAAUGGGGAGCACGCAUCUGCAGUCGAGUCUCUGCUUCCAGCAGUAGCACAUGCAGUAGCAGCCUCUGCCAAAAGCCUAUAGGACCUGCUACAGUUCACGUCCAAACUCCUGCCUGACCCUCAGCAACUCCCAGGACGUGGCCCCAUCUGACACCUCCCAGCCCAUGGCCCAGUUCUGUCUGGUGUGAACUCUCUGCUCCAGGUGUACCAGGCAGAGCCCUUCCUCCAGGCGUUUGCUCAUGCCGUUCUCCUUGUUUAUCAGUCUUUUACCGCUUUUGUCCUAAGUUCUUCAGGGCCCAAAUCCAGGUCAGUCUCUUUUGUGAAGCCUCCUUUUGGCUUAGCCCUUAUUUUUUUAAGGACU